rnacentral:rRNA from 1 species
UACGUAGGGUGCGAGCGUUGUCCGGAAUUAUUGGGCGUAAAGGGCUCGUAGGCGGUUUGUCGCGUCGGGAGUGAAAACUCAGGGCUUAACCCUGAGCCUGCUUCCGAUACGGGCAGACUAGAGGUAUGGCAGGGGAGAACGGAAUUCCUGGUGUAGCGGUGAAAUGCGCAGAUAUCAGGAGGAACACCGGUGGCGAAGGCGGUUCUCUGGGCAUUACCUGACGCUGAGGAGCGAAAGCGUGGGGAGCAAACAGG